rnacentral:rRNA from 1 species
ACGCUCGACACCUACGGGAGGCAGCAGUCGGGAAUAUUGCGCAAUGGAGGAAACUCUGACGCAGUGACGCCGCGUAUGGGAAGAAGGUUUUCGGAUUGUAAACCAUUUUAGACAAGGAAGAAACAAGACAGUACUUGUAGAAUAAGCUCCGGCUAACUACGUACCAGCAGCCGCGGUAAUCUGAGCGGGCUGGCAAGGC